CCUUCCCAUGGUGCCGCGGGAGCGGCGGCCGCAGCGGCCGCGACUUCAUCCGGGUCCCGCAAGUACCGGGACGGCGGGGCCGGGCGGUGGCCGCGGGGCCGUGGGGGGCGCGGGAACGGCUGCGGUGUCGGGGCGCGCCCGGGAGAGGGUGGGAGCGGAGGGACCGAGCCGGAGGGCUCGUACGGGCGGGCGCGGGGCCUCGGCCCGGCCUCUGCGCCGCCUCUGCCGCGGGCCCGGUUCAUUGUCCUUAUUCCCCUCAUCGAUGCCUUUUUCCCUCGUUCUCCCCCGCUCUCCUCCAGGCUCACUGGAAGGUCCGGAAGUGCCGCCCCCGGGAGCCGCCGGCGCCAGCCCUGUCCUUGCUACGAAGGGAAUUCUGAGUCACACAUCUGUCUGGCAAGUGUUUUCAUUUCAGUAUUCAAAGAUGAUGUUGUGA
ensembl:lncRNA